CACGGAAUUAGCCGGUCCUUAUUCAUGCGGUACCUGCAAAAAGGGACGCGUCCCUCACUUUAUCCCCGCAUAAAAGCAGUUUACAACCCGUAGGGCCGUCAUCCUGCACGCUACUUGGCUGGUUCAGGCUUCCGCCCAUUGACCAAUAUUCCUCACUGCUGCCUCCCGUAGGGGUUUGGACCGUGUCUCAGUUCCAAUGUGGGGGAUCUUCCUCUCAGAACCCCUACUGAUCGUCGCCUUGGUGGGCCGUCGCCCCGCCAACUAGCUAAUCAGACGCAUCCCCCUCCGUUACCGAAGAAUCUUUGCUUCGAAUCUGAUGCCGUCAUCGAAGAACAUGCGGUAUUAGUCUGCCUUUCGGCAGGUUAUCCCGGCAGGUAACGGGAAGGUUGGAUACGCGUUACUCACCCGUGCGCCGGUCGACGUCCAUUCAGUGCAAGCACUCAAUCGCCCGUUUCCCCUCGACUUGCUAUGUGUUAAGCCUGUACGCCAGCCGUUCAUUCCCUGGACGCCGAGGACUACAAACUCUCG
rnacentral:rRNA from 1 species